rnacentral:snRNA from 1 species
AGCUUUGAGCAAUGGCAGUAUGGUAGCUUAUUAGGUUUAUCCAAGGUGCAAUUAUUGCUAAUUGACAACUUUGCCCAAGAGCUUCUUUGAAACAAUAUAGGACAAGAGACUAAAAUGGGGGAAAUGUCUGCUUUUACUACCUGAGGG